GCAGCUUCAGUUGCUUUGAUAUAGUCAAAACGUGAGGAUGAUUUGUGUGAUAUAGUGCGAGGGCAUAUUAGUGAUUUACGCCGUUAUGUCGAUACUGUUAUGUCAAAUUGAUAAUGACGCCGCGAAUUUUCGUGGGUGGUUUUUGGCUGGCCACUUAUUUGAAUAACAUAAAUUUGAAAAGAAAAAUAAAUUUAUAAAAAGUCGAAGGGAUUGUGUGUUAUUUAUUCGCAAAGCAAUAUGAAAUAUUCGCGACGUAGUUGAUUAUAACGGGUGUACGAGAGUGCUAAUAAAAAGGUUCCGAAGAACGAACACGAUUGUGGGUGCACAUGUUUUCAUAUGACUACACAAGCACGAACGAAGUACCUUUUGAAAAAAAAAAAAUUAAAUAAAACUAUAAAAUAAAACACUGAUGAAAAUGUCCACCACAUAUUUUUUGUGUGCCAAAUUUAUAUGAACACGGUGAACUUUCGUUAGCGAUAUUUGUGUAGUUAAAUAAUUUGAAAAUGAAUAACAAAAUUAAAAUUUGAAAAGUGCAACAAAGGACAACAAAAACCGCGACUUACUUAAUGCCAACGUGCGCGUGCACGUGUGUGCUAAUAAACGGAAUCCGAAGAACAAACACGAUUGCGGGUGCACAUACAUAAGUAUUUGUCAUUGCACAAGCAAACAUUUUCUCGCUAUGCCAAUCCGAGAAGUACUGGAACAACAACAAUUUUAAAGAAAAACAGUGACUAAAAUGUAGCACGAAUUCUGUGAGCUCAAUCUUUUAGUUGUGUUUUAAUAAAAAACGAAUAAUCGAAGCAUCAGCAGCUAAAACGUUACGGACAUUUUUUUCGUUUGUGCAGGUCGCUUGCAACAACAACGCUAUGUAUAUUAUUGGUCCUUGUAUCUGUGCAACAUUGUGGCAUACUGUGAACGUGUGAAAUUGCAAUAAUUCAUAAAUGCAACCGGGAAUUGAAUUCGGCAAUUUUCAACUCAACGCAACUGAACUGAACUGAACUCAACCGAACCGAGCUAAAGUGAGCUGAAGUGAACUGAAAAGUACUGUUGGGGCAAUAUUUCCCCAUGUUGCACAGUUGCACAGUUGCGAGUUACCGCAGUGCCCGUUUGCCGUUGUCGGAAAAUCGAAUUAAACGCAAAAAAAUUGCAAAAACAACCAACUCGCCUAAUAGCCACAUACAAACGUACCGUGGAUAUGUACAUAUGUGCAUACAUACAUACAAACAUAGUUAGUGCAUAUACAUAAGUCCAUACACAUUUGGUUCAAAUCACAAGUGCACAAAAGUAAAUAUUUAUGUGUGUUUGUAUGUGCGCGCUUGUGUAUUUGAAGUUUGAAAUUUCAUUACGAAUGUUGCACGAUUGAGUCCGUUGUUGCAAGUGCAAAACAUUUACACUAUGCUUUAGUGUUGCAAAAGAAAUUGAAAAAAAAAAAACACUCGCAAAUUUAUGACGCAGCUGUGUGUAGCGAAAAUUUGAGAAUUUCAACAAAUUCUUGCCAAGCAAACAUACAGACAUAAAUUACAUUUUUGCCAGAGUUGUUGCAACGUCCACAUGUUAGCAGCAUCACAAAAAUACUAGGGGCGAAACUGAAAACAACAAGCGUUGCGAGCAGACAUAAAAAGGCAUGAUUUGUUAUCCCAAAGAAAUACCUAAAGAUCUGCUCCGAAAAACGUGACACUUUAGCAUGCAAAAAAGCACACGUUUUCAUCUAGCGUCGAAGUAAAAAACUAAACAAAUUACGAUUAUUUCGUAAAAUACGAAAAAAUGCAAAAAUUCGCCAAAAUGCCUGCAAAGAUAUUGAAGCCCGCUAAACUUAAGCAAAAGUGCUUAGCACUUAAGCCACUUAACUUGCUUGAAAGAAGCAUUCAAGGCGAUGUUUCAACGAAUUGCUUUAGUAGCCGAAGUACAUUUUCGGGAAGUGAAAUUUGGCUGAGAUGGUGUCUGCUGCUGGCGAUGUUAGUGUUAGUGCCAGGUAAGAACUUUACUUUAUAAAUACUCAAG
rnacentral:lncRNA from 1 species